UCGGGCCUCUUGCCAUCGGAUGUGCCCAGAUGGGAUUAGCUAGUAGGUGGGGUAACGGCUCACCUAGGCGACGAUCCCUAGCUGGUCUGAGAGGAUGACCAGCCACACUGGAACUGAGACACGGUCCAGACUCCUACGGGAGGCAGCAGUGGGGAAUAUUGCACAAUGGGCGCAAGCCUGAUGCAGCCAUGCCGCGUGUAUGAAGAAGGCCUUCGGGUUGUAAAGUACUUUCAGCGGGGAGGAAGGGAGUAAAGUUAAUACCUUUGCUCAUUGACGUUACCCGCAGAAGAAGCACCGGCUAACUCCGUGCCAGCAGCCGCGGUAAUACGGAGGGUGCAAGCGUUAAUCGGAAUUACUGGGCGUAAAGCGCACGCAGGCGGUUUGUUAAGUCAGAUGUGAAAUCCCCGGGCUCAACCUGGGAACUGCAUCUGAUACUGGCAAGCUUGAGUC
rnacentral:rRNA from 1 species